rnacentral:rRNA from 1 species
CCAUCAUUCAGUUGGGCACUCUAGCGAGACUGCCGGUAAUAAACCGGAGGAAGUGGGAUGACGUCAAUCAUCAUGCCCCUUACUGACCUGGGCUACACACGUGCUACAAUGGUUGGUACAACGAGUUGCGAGUCGGUGACGGCGAGCUAAUCUCUUAAAGCCAAUCUCAGUUCGGAUUGUAGGCUGCAACUCGCCUACAUGAAGUCGGAAUCGCUAGUAAUCGCGGAUCAGCACGCCGCGGUGAAUACGUUCCCGGGCCUU